rnacentral:lncRNA from 1 species
UGGGGGAAACUGGCAUGCUGUUCCUCAUCGAUGGUCCUGUACUGGGGGAAACUGGCAUGCUGUUCCUCAUCGAUGGUCCUGUACUGGGGGAAACUGGCAUGCUGUUCCUCAUCGAUGGUCCUGUACUGGGGGAAACUGGCAUGCUGUUCCUCAUCGAUGGUCCUGUACUGGGGGAAACUGGCAUGCUGUUCCUCAUCGAUGGUCCUGUACUGGGGGAAACUGGCAUGCUGUUCCUCAUCGAUGGUCCUGUACUGGGGGAAACUGGCAUGCUGUUCCUCAUCGAUGGUCCUGUACUGGGGGAAACUGGCAUGCUGUUCCUCAUCAAUGGUCCUUCGUUCCCACUUGGUCGGGGCAUUGGGAGGACUAGGCUAGCAGAAACUGACCGUGGCUAGGGAGUAGGUAGCACCUGGGAGUUGUUAAUAAUCUUGAAAUGCUGAUUGAACAAUGUAUUGGUGCAAAUUAGGGGAGGCUGAGACCCAUGAAGAGGUUAGUUGUGUGUCUGUGAUUAGAGCAUCUUUCUCCCUUCCUGUAUUAUUAAAAUGCUCCUGUCGCUUUCAAUGACACUUCAGUGCUGUGAUGUAAAUUAUUGAGCAAGGGCAGAGGAGACCUCCUUCACCUAAGCUGUAAGGGACCAAUCCCACAAGAGAGCAACUUCCUUCUACCCUUCCUGGCUUGGCAGCGCUGUAAGGGACCAAUCCCACAAGAGACCAACUUCCUUCUACCCUUCCUGGCUUGGCAGCUCCUGGAGUUUGUCUGCUGCAUCCCCACUCCUGUCCCUGUGCUGCCCUUCCCCUGGAAAAGCCUGCCUUGGGCAGGCAGAGCGUUGGUGUUGGAUUGCAUGGAGCUGCUGUCCUUGCUGCUUCCCAGGGAUGGGACAGUCCCGUGGGAUUCUGAAGGUGUGAGUGACCUUGGCAGACCCUUCUGCCACCAAGAAGCCAAGUGGAGAGACUGUGAGGGCCGAAAUCUGUUGUCAGUGGGACUGCCCAGAGGAAAAACUCAGCCCCUCUGCUCUCCAGGGAUCUCUGCAGUCAGCACCAUCAAGGCUCCAUCCCUCCAGAGCUGCCGUGUUCUUCUAGGAGCUGUUGGACCUCUGGAAAACAAGAGGUGUUGCCAAGGAGCUACGUGGGACAACCAAUGUUUCCCUUGGGUCCUGCCUGCUGCUGGGGCACCCUCAUGUUUUUGGCAUGUAGUCAUAGACUCUGACGCGGGAGUAUCGGAGUUGCUGAGUGGCAGGUGCUGA